CCGUUGCCGACUUCAUAGACAAAUACCUUCCAUUUGAAAACGUUGAAAGUUGGUUGCCACAUUCAACCCGCAGAGCCACCACCAAACGGCCAAACCAAAGAAAGUCCCUGCGUGCGGUCCCGUCUUACAAAGCCAAAACACACACACACACAAACACGUGCGCCUCAUACACUCUCAACCUGCAUGAUCGUUCCCGCAAUGUCACCUCGUCUUCAAUUUCCUUUUAUCUAGGGCUUUUGGUCCCCCGUGUGCGUGUAGAUCUUGCUAUCGGACCCCUGGAUCGGUUACCAUGUGGCGUUCUUUCUGGCGGUCCAUCGACCGUUUUUCUCUACAGCACUUCAAAUAUGUAAUCAAUGAACUGCGGGCGAUCAAAGUUGUGGAUCUGCGUAACAGGGAGUUGGUCAUAGAUCUACUGCAGUCUAUAGUGGAGAUAGUUACCUAUGGUGAUAGACAAGAUCCUAUGAUAUUUGAAUGUUUCAUGGAAUACCAAGUUUUAGCGGAAUUUGUUCGCUUGCUAAAGAUCAGCAAGAAUUCGAGGAUUGAGGCACCGUUGCUACAGUAUCUAAGCAUAAUGAUUCAAAAUAUGGAUAGCGAACAUGCAAUUUAUUAUUGUUUUAGCAAUGAUUAUGUUAACAACAUAAUAGCACAUAAGUAUGAAUUUGAUGGUGGAGAUCUGGCUCCAUAUUAUGUAUCAUUUUUAAGGGCAGUGAGCAGCAAGAUAAACAAAGACACGCUUUGCCUUCUUGUGAAGGUUCAAGAGGACGCUGUAGUUUCGUUUCCCCUCUAUAGUGAGGCUCUUAAAUUUGCUCAUUACGAGGAAAAGAUGAUUCAGACAGCUGUACGUGCAUUAACCCUCAACAUAUACAAUGUGAGCGAUGAUAUGGUCUUUCAAUUUAUAACUACUCCUCCGGUCUCAAAGUACUUCUCAGAUGUGGUUUGUAGAUUAAGAAAACAGUGCUUGCAUCUAGACACCUUUCUCCAAGCUAAAGAGGAAAUGUGCACUCAUGGAAGGAGAAAUGAACUAAUUCUAGAAACUGAUAAAAUUGUAGAUGAUCUUUACUACUUGAAAGACAUACUCAGUGUCAGCGAGAAUCGUUUGGGUAGAUUUAUCACCCAAAAUAUUUUCAGCUUACUUGUCUUUCCAAUAUUGCUUCCAUUACUGCAGUUAAGGCAGCAGAUCGACGGCUCGAAUAUAUCAGAAGUCACUUCUUUGUAUAUCAUUUCUCGUCUUAUCCAAGUUAUAGGUGGAAAAAGAGUGAUAAAUGCCGUGGCUGGUGUUAUUCUAUAUCCUUAUUUGACCUCAAGUGUGGGAGGUGCUACUGAAGGGGACACAGUUGAUGCGAAUGGAAAUUCUUUUCUUAAUCAUCUGAAUGAUGUGGAAAAAUUGGUAUGUUCUGGUCCAGAGACUGAGGGAUCAGAAAAUACUAGCAACUCUAUGUUUGGGCAUUUGGGAGAGCAUGUGUCAUCUGAUUCUCAAUUCGUUGGUGGUGCUUGGAAUGAUCUCUGUAUAGAAAGGGGUGGAAUAUUUAAAUAUGUUUUUGCGGACAAUAGUCCCAGUCUGCUGCUAGCAUCUCUGUUUUUAUUGCUUAUCUUAGCAGAAAGUAAAGAUCUUGAUUAUUUCCUAUUUCCAAUGAUUGGCAGAAUACCGGAUAUGACUACUCAGGCUCGUGAGUUUUCAGCUUCACAGAGAGUAAAUGAAAGUAUAUUUGUGAAAUUCAUGCCCCAGAUUUUAAAUGCAUUGUUGAAGAUUUUAGCAAGCCAACCACCGUUGUCUGUUCUAAUACAAUGGCACACAGGGUGGUUCUUCCGGAAGCUACUGAUUUCUCAAGGGAACAGCCUCAGUGAUCUUAAUUUCCAACUAUUCAACACUUCAUAUGAGCAGUCUCGUGAACGCCUUCAGAAAGAACUUGAUGGAUGCUGGUUUGAUCGUAUUCCGGAUACGUUCCGAAGUGAAUGGUCAAACUGUAGAACUGCUCUUGAGGAAUCAUCCCAAUGUAAAGAUCCCUUCUUUGCAUUAGAACUUGCUGCAUGCCGAGAAAAGACUGACGGGGGUGAUGCUACUCUUUCUGCUUUGCAAAGGAUGGUAGAAGCUGUGAAGGUAUUCAUUCUCCAUCUUCAGCUCAAGGCUUUUAUUUUCAAAGGAGAUUUGCCUGAAAAACCCACACUGAAUUCAACAACUGGUCCAACUGCCGAUUCUGGAAGAAGUCACACGUCCGAUAUUUCAUCUGCAAGCUUUGGUUCUGAUGUUUCUCUAGGAUCUGGAAUCCCUUGCAGCAUAGCAUUUUCCAAUGCAGGAAUCAGGGAUGUAUACCUGGUACCAGCAGCAAGGGGAAUAACUGGAAAAUUGCUUCUCACAGAGAAGCAUCCCUUCCGUAGUCAAAGAGGAGUUGUCAUUGCUAUUGCUCCAUUGGCUGGUUUGAGUCCAAAGAUAGACAAGGACCAUCCCUCAUGGUUGCAUCUCCAGAUAAGGGAGUUCGACCCAAGAUUUGAUACAAGUAAGGCCAGAGGCAACCACUUGAAGAUGUCCAAUCAUGUUGCAGAUGGGAGAUGGACCCUUGGUUUCCCAAACGCAAAAGCUUGUGAGACGGCACGGUUUUUGAUACUUGAGGAAAUUGGUAAACAGAGAUCCUUUGUUGAAAGCAUGCUUGCUCCACUUCUUCAGGAUGAUUUUCUUGGAAAUUUAUCAGAUAAUCAAGAUGAGUGAAGCUCUAAUGCGAGAUGUUUGAGGCGAGUUUUUUGCCAUUGCUUGUAAAUCUCUGCUAUUAGUGUGUUUCUUGCCCUGAUGACAGUGGACACCAAGUGAAAUGGCUUGGCAACCAGAUGUAAGUUGAGUCUUUCAUCUCCCAUUGCAUCAGAACAUUCUUUAGCUUAGUUUGUUUAUAUUAUUCAUACCUUGAGCUGGUAUAGGGGUCAAAUUGGGAUCAUCUUCCCGGCUAGUGCCAUUGAUAGAAACUCGUGAUAACUCAAAGUUCCAAUCUUGAUAUUUAUCCCAAGGUACAGUGCUCUACUAUGGAGGGUACUCGAGCUAGAGGCAUUGGGAAUUAUAUUGGAAGAUAUCGAUAACUAACAACGAGCCUGGCUCUGAUUUUGGCUUCUUUUCCCCAUUCUAGGAAAAUAGAUAGCCGAAGCCAAAGCAACUUUGACUGUUGAGAAAGCUGAUCCUGUGGUUUUUGAUGACACGUAGUGUCUUACACCCGUUGCAAUUUACUGUUGAGAACCGAGCUAAUUAAGAAACUAGAAGCAUAAAAAUAAUGAGAACUUUUAGGAAAAGGAGUGUGGUUCUGGUACGUAGUUGAAUCACCUUUAUAUUAACAAGGCUGUCGUGUCAAAAUUGGAGCUACUUUUUCCUCUAUUGUAACCUUUAAAGCUCUGAGUUAGUCUGGCCGGCUUCCACACUACCAUUAUACUAUUAA